rnacentral:lncRNA from 1 species
GUCAUGUUGAACACAGAUGGUGGUAAUCGCCCAUUGAAGUGUUGUUGGACAGCUUCAAAAACCACAACGAGGAGCCUACUGUUGGAAAUUAUGCUCAAGCAGUUCACAAGACAUGUGAUUGUUGGAAAGAUCCAAGUAUUCGAGAGAGCUCAUAUUCCCAAAACAAGGAGGAAUACAACCUGUGAGGCUGUUGUUAGCCAUCAUGAAGUUCUUCAAACGUGGAAAAAUCGAACAUAUGUUGCUUGCAAUUUGACCUUGUAUGUUGUUGCCAGACAUAUCUACUGUCUGAAGGUUGGGUGUUGGAUGUUGUGGCAGCUGCAAAGGACCACCUAUAAAUGAGGUGUCUCUCAAAUAUAGUCGAUUUAACAAUCUAUUAUUCUCAAACAGCCAAGAUGGGAAAGGUUCUCCAACGAAUUUGUUGUGGGAUAGAUCAACAAACACCAAAUCAUGUUGGCUAUGGAGGAAGUUUGGAAAUCCAGCUUUGAGUGGUUUUGGAGUACAGUUUGAAGCACUAAAAGCACGAAGCUGGAACUUUGGAACUAAAGGCUGAAAACUGGGUGCAGCAAUUAGCUCAUUGUUAUCGCAUGCAAUGAACUUGAGGUUGGUGAGGUUCAUAAAUGAACCAAAUGAUAUUGGAACUUGAAAGUGGUUAUUUGAAACUUCGAGGUAUUUGAGCUGCGUAAGAUGGGAAAGGUGACUAAGGGCAAUAUUGCCCUCCAAUUGGUUGUCAGAUAAAUCCAAGAUUUGUAAAGAUGAUAGAUUUCCAAAACAAGGAGGGAGUACGCCUUUUAGAUUGUUUCCUGAGCGAAUGUUUGAGAGAAAUAGUUGUUCAAGAUUCUUCAAUUCACACCAGCCUGUAAAAUAUAUCAAUUAUGUAAUAUAUCAAUAAUAUCUCGAAUUGAAGAAAGUCCAUGUGAAAGAGAAAGAAGAAAAGGUACGAUGAAAAGAGUGGUGGUACACAAUAUCCAUUCCUUUCAAUAUUAACUUAAAUUAGUAUCUUUAAGAUUGCAUUUUUUGUCAAGAAGGAUAGAGUGGAAGUAUCCAUUUUGUGUAUUGUAAUAUAAUCAUCUGUUAAGCAGAAGUAAAACAGAGGAAUGAUUAUGUUAUUUCUUGCGUGCGGAAUCCUCCUACCAUUAUAUAUAUACUUCCCCGCAUGCAUUACACGAUUUAUUAUAUUGUUAACUAACUUUAACCGUCUCUUAACAACUUCUAACACGUGUCCAUGCAUCUGUCAGCUAUCUUAAAUUUAAGACUGAGAAAUUUUAGAGAUUGAGAAACUCUAGAUUUUAUCCUUUUCUAUACGUAACAUUAGGAGUAAAUUUCUAGUUUAAUAAAACACAGAUAUAGCACAAAUAUCUAAUGAACAACUGUUAUUUGGAUUUCAAUACUCUUAUAAUUGUUCAUUUGUAGAAUUACCUUCAGCAGGUAGGGUGCCAUGGAAGUCAACUCCUCUCAAGGAUAGGACUUUAAGAGUAGACAAGAGUCCAAUGUUCCUAAGAAAGCUUGCUGGGAGAGAAGAAUAAUCGAGGACCACUUCUUCAAGGCUAGACGAAUUACACAACCCUGUGGCACAGAUCAUAUAAAUCCAUUAAUGAUAGUGAUAUAUAUAUAUAUAUAUAUAUCAUAUUGUUUUAGGCACCAAAUUAAACUGUUACUGACCUUUCCCAAAGUGUUUAAAAUUAAUAUCAUCGGCAUAUAAGGUCUUGAGGGAAGGCAACGCUCCCAAUGACUCUAUUAAAAUGUUUUCCUUGUAGUCAGUUGAAUCCAUAUACAAGAUUUCUAAAUUCCUUAAACCUGUGAUAGAGAGAACCAUUAAUAAUAAUUAAUUAAUAAUUUAUAAACGUUACAAGACAUAGCUUAAGUUUUAAAUUAAAAUAAUUUUUAAUAUAAUAUUAAAAUUUUAUUAAUUCAAUAUUCACCUUCAUUUAUUUUUUUAAAAUUAAAAAAUUGAACAAAAGUUAAUAGUACUGUGUGUAUGUAAGUUUCAAAUUAUUUCACUAAAGAAAAUGCAUUAAAGAAUUAAUUAUAUAAAGCCUUUUUAAGGUUUCAUCCAAACAACUUAAGGGUUAAUACACAUCUAAUUAUUGAACCUCACUAGAAAAUGCUAUCAGAGGUAAGAAUGAUUUACAACUUUACCAUUGAGACUAGUUGAUCCUGUGAAUCUAUUGUUUGAUAGAUAUAGAGAUUUAAGAGAUGAAAAACCACUUAGAGAUGAUAAAAUGUUGUCGUUAAAUUUAUUGCAUCUCAGAUCAAGUUCCUUCAAAUUCCUUAACCCUGAAGCUAAGACUUGAAAACCUGAAAGAAAAUUGUCGAAGCAAAGAAAUUAGCAUAUAUAUCAACCAUCCUAAUAUCCGUAAAGAUUCAAUGUAAAGUUACUUGAAAUAUAAUUAACUUUAUGUGUUAACUAAAAGAAAAUUGAAAGCAUAGAACCUUGGUUCUUUAAGCCACCAACUAAUUUGUUGACGCUUAAGUCGAGAAUCUCCAGUUCUUUGAAAGGCAGAAACAAAGACGCAUUGAGAUCCAAGUCGACUUCGACUACAUUGAGAUAAUCAUAAUUUACAUCUGAAAGAUAUAGUUCGAUCACUCGGUUUGUGGUGGUGUCACACACAACCCUAAGCCAGUUACAGCAAUUAAAAUGCUCUUUAUCCCAACCUUCUAGAUCAUAGGACACAGCUGCACGUGCAUGAUUGACCCAAGCUUUUAUCUGUAAGAGACUAAUUCUCUCUUCGUCCAAACAACAAUGGCUCCGGUCGUUGAAGAAGGCCAGUGCCAUGAGCAGCAUCCACACCCACAUUUGCCUCAUCUUCAUAACGCUCCACUUGACCACAUACAAAAGCAAGCAAGCUGUCUCUUAUAUACUAUUUAAUUUGUCCUCUUCAUGCAUUAAUUUGAUCGGACAGUGACAAUUAUCUGUAUCAUUGAAUUUUCUAUGCCGAAUUAAUUAUCCAAGGGAGACUUGGGCUGCAUCUGCCAGCUACCAUAAUUAAUCUGCACUAACAGUGACCAUAACAGCUGUAACAAUACUCCCUCAGUACUUGUAACAUCAUCCUAAUAUAUAUUGAAUUAUUUGAUGAAAACAUUAUCUAAAACAUGAUUAAUUGACAUAUUUAAAGUCAAAUAAAAAACAAACCCAACUUAUUUUUAAUAUUAAAAAUUAUUUUCCAAUAUAAAUUUUUUAAUAUAAAAAUUUAAUAAAAUUAAAAUAAAUUAUGAUUACUGUUUGAGAAAUUGAUUUGAUCUUGGGCCCCAUAAUUAUUUUCACUAGUCUGUUAAAGUUCUUUUUCAAGCUUAUGGAAUGAGGUGCUCCUUCAAGUUAUUGUGUAAGCUACUUUGUUUUUUUUUCUUUGUAGACUCGGGAAGUCAUUUGUUUGAACAUUUGAUUUUCUAAAAAGUUUUUAUAUCUAUUUGUUUCUGGAUUAUAAAAAUAUUUUUAAAAAAAAUUAAAUUUUUUAUUAUUUUUUUAUUAUUUUUAAAUUAAUAUAUUUUUAAUAUUUUUAAAUUAUUUUUAUGUGUUGAUGUCAAAAAUAAUUUUUAAAAAUAUAAAAAAUAUUAUUAAUAUAUAUUUUAGUACAAAAUAUUUUUUAAAAAAGAAUCUCAACCAGACGGUUAAUCUCAUCAUCCACUAGCGCAUGUUUUUAUUCUUCCGGAGACCUGUGAAGUCAAGAUUCUCAAUUAUCCACUGCAUCAAUCUCUAUCCCAUCAAAAUGAAUUUGGUGUAAGAAAAAAAUAUCUGAUAUAUGUGAUUUACUCCUGGUUUGACCCCUCCCUCCCUCCAUAAAGUUAUCAUUUAACUCCACUUUCGAGAUAAAAUCUUAAACUUCUUUAGAUUUUUUCCUACCCUUGAAAUUGUUAUGAACAUAAGUAAAAGAGAUGAAAACUCCUUUACCCACGUAUCGAGCAUACCCUAGUUACAUAACACUAGUUAAAUCUUGACAUAACAUUUCAAGUUAAUUAAUGGCUAGGAUUUUGUUUAGUGGAUUUUUUUUUGAAAUUAAAUAUCAUAUCAAUAAAUAAAUAGCAACUAAAAAUAUAACUACUAAAAUAGAUAUUUUAUUUUGUUAAUUUUAUUUGAAAAAGCUUUUGAACAUAAGGACUCCAUAUAUAUAUAUAUAUAUAUAUUUUUAUGCUUAUUAUAUUGGAUAUGUUUAAUGCCCCGGUAAUAACCAGGAUAGGAGGCCGACUUAAUUAGAGUUGAUAGGGCACAAAUAUAUAUAUAAUGUGCUCCGAUUAAUACAAAAAUAAUUAUAAUAAUAAUUAAGGUUUGUUUUUUUAUUCAGUUUGUUGUUAUCUAUUUUUAGGUUCUCUCACACAAAACAAAUUUGAAAGAAAACAAAAAAUAUGAACAAUUGAUUUGAUCUUAUGAAAUACAUGGCAGAAGAGAUUAGAAAAUGAUUUCCAUUUGUCAGAAAUACACCCCAAUAGUCUUAAUUUGAAUUGCACUUUGCACUCCUUUUCCAGCGAUCAAUAGCUAGGAAACCUGUCAGUGAAAUCUUUAUUAUUUGCUCCGGGUUGCUGCUGCUGGUUACUCUGUCACGGAUUAUUAUUUUUCAGUAGUCAGUUAUCCUAGUGCUUGCUUGGACAUGCUCAACAAUGGAGUUUCUCUAAAUGUAAUUCCCACAGUGAAAUCUUCUGUCAAAGUCAUUCCAAGCCGGAAAAGAUCAGGAAAAUGAAGUCUUGAAACAUCAAGCGAAUAGAGCCCAGCAGGAAAAAUUCGUUUCUGACGGUGAGAUUUGUAAUGUGAUCCUAGCUAGUAAACCCAAGGUUGUCAAUUCGGUUCCGUUUCGUCCGGAAUGACCGAAACAUUCAUACCAAUUUAAAAAACGGAAUAAAAUGGAAUAAAUUUCAUCUCAUUUUAAAUCUCGAUCUGUUCCGGAUUUUUCAGCUAAAUUCCGCCCGGAAUGUUCUGGUUUCAUUUUACAUGUUCCGUUCCGCUCUUGAAAAGCCAUUGAAUCAAAUUGAACCUUGUUCAAUUUAAUUAAUUAAACCAUCCAAUUAUAAAAAGCUCAUUUUCAUUACUAUUCUCAAUAAUGACACGAUCAAAAGAUUGAUGUCUCUCCCAAGUGCAGGAGUGUUGAAGUAAUAAAUAACCCGGUAAGACCGGGGUCAAACCACAAAGAGGUUAAUUGUAUAAAUUAUAAAUAACAAUAGAACAACAACAAAAACAAUAAUAACAACAAUAACAACAACAAUAAUAACAAUAAUAGUAAUAAUAAUAAUAAUACUCAGUACGUGGCGUUGUUAUACCUGAGAAUGAUCUAAAAGAUCGGGUCACAAGUUUCCAGCCUAUAUACUGAUCGAGUUUAUAAAAAGAUCAAAGAGAUAUAUUAUAUAAUAUAAACAGAAUGUAAAUAAUAAUAAUAAUAAUAAUAAUAAUAAUAAUAGUAGUAGUAGUAGUAGUAGUAGUAGUAGUAGUAGUAGUAGUAAUAGUAAAAAGAAAAGGAAGAAGAAAUUAAUGAGAACUUUGAGAUGGAAGAAUAAUGUAAGGAUUAAACAAUGAUAAAAACAAAUGUCAAGGUUAGAGGAUCCACCAAUGGUAUUUCAAACAAGUAUAGUAUAAACUCUUAUUACUCAAUUUGGAAACCACACACGAGGAGGUUCCAAUCGGAUGAUUUGUCAUUAAUAGCUCAUUAUAAAUUAUUAACAUGAUCAUAUUAAUUAUCUUAUUUACAUAACACCAAACUUUUAAAUAUUCAGGAAUUCAUGAUGUUAACUGAUGUUAACAACAAAUCAAGUUCCUUUCAUAGCCAGGUGUAGGUAAUACCAUACGGUUGGGCUAUGAGAGUGCCAAGCAUUUGUUGUACCAAGUGUUAUACAACACAAAUCUAGAUUAACCAUUUAACAAGCAAGGUAUUAAGAAUUAGUAAGAUAAAAAGAUAAGACAUGUUAAUAUUAAACAUUAAGGUCCAUGUUGAGUUUACACUAUACUUAUUCUUACACCAUUAGUGUAACCUUUUCACCUUGACAUAAUAAACUUAGCUAAACAUAAUGAAGAAGAGAAACAUAAAUAAACAAAACAAGAACAUAAAGAAAAUACAAGUUAACUAAGUAAAGGAAAGGAAAUGAAAAGCAUAAACAAGAUAUUAAUGAAAGCAAAACUUAAAAAUUACAAAAAAAAUAUAAAGAGAGAAAUAAAGAGCAUGAACUUGAUCUGAACAACCAAGCCCCUAAAUACAUGGCAAAUGCCUCCUUUUAUAGGCCAAAAUUCAGAAUUAUUGAUUUGAUGACUAAUUGUUGAGUGGGUGGCCAACUUUUGACUUUGUGAAAAUCCUUAUCUUCUUGUCUGAAUAAAACAAAAUGCUAGCAUCAGAACUGGGUCCACUUGAAAACAUGAAAGUUGUAGGAAAUUGACUCAGCUUUCCAGGAAAAAAAAUGGAGGUCAUUUGGACUUCUAGAACUCCAGAUAUGGGCCAAACACUAAACAAUGUUCGGGCUGCAGGACAGAUUCAGACUUCUCCGUUGUUGCUAUAAUUUGGACUUGCAAACGGCCUUCUUAGAUCUUGAUGAAAACAUGAAAGUUGUAGGCAUAUGUCUUAGUGAAUUUGUGUAAAAAUUUGAGAUCAUUUUGACAUCUAGAACACGAGAUAUGACCCAAUUACCAAACAGUGUUCCAGUUUGGACUGCACCAACAUCUCUUUUCUAAGCUUCACCCUCUUUUUGUCCUUUCAAUUUCCAUACUUGAACUCAUCAAUCAAUCCAUUGAUUUAUAUGAUAGGCCUGCAUUUAAGAUGAACAUUUACCAUAUAUUAAGGCAUUUUAAAGUAUUAGACUUGUUAUUAUAAAACAUUCUUUAGUUAAGGAGUUAUUAAUACUUUAAGUGCAAAAUGAUGAUAUAAAACCUUGAUAAAUAUGCACUUUUAAGUACUAAUCAAGUAACAAUGAUAUUAAUAAUAAUAUUGAAAAUUAUUAUUACUAUUUUCAUUAACAAUGAUAUUAAUUUUUUAAAAUUAGAUUUAUCACUAAUAUAUACGAUUUAUAUUCAUGUUGUUUUUUUCAUGUUUAUACUUUGUAGGAAUUUUAGCAAAAUAAGAGAUUCUUUAGAUUCCAUUAGCCUUGAUAACAUUGACCUAAUUUUAUAUUUUAAAUAUUUUUGUUAAAACAUUUUACUUUCAUAAUAUUUUGAUAUUUUGUUCAAGUUGAAUUACUUUAAGUUAAAGAUUUAUUUAAUAUUGACUAUUUAGAAAUAUUUUAAAUUUUAAAAUUAUAUUUGUUUGGCAUUGUGUUUGUAUUGCUUAAUUUAUAAUUAAUUUAUCUUGAAUUCGAAUUAUGUUUGCUGAAUAUAUAUAUAUAUAUAUAUAUAUAUAUAUAUAUAUAUAUAUAUAUAUGAACAAUACAACCCCGAAACGACACACCGAAAUACUUCAAAACUAAAACAUUUUAUUUUAAUUGAAAAAAAAAAAUACCUACCGGAACGAAAUUGACAAUCUUUAGUAAACCUCAACCAAAGAUCAUAAUGCCAAAAUUGUAGUCAAAGAGACUUGGAACUCCCUGCUGAUGGGCUGUUUAUUCUGCCAAAAUUGCAUGGGCCGUUUUACAGCCUUCGUAAUGGGCUUGGCUACUUUGGGUAGUUAAAAAAACCCAAAUAGAUAAUGUUUUCUUUUCCUUUGGUAUCCGUUUAAUCAAUCUUCUGGUUUGAUCCUUGAUAGUGCUGUGUUUUGAUGCUUGUCGAUUAGCCACAAUAAUGUUAAAUUUACAAGGACAGAUCCAAGAAAAGCAAUGCAGGCCUGUAUUUACUUUCAUAUUAAUUAUUGUUUGAAUAUUCUUAAUCUGAAUGAUAUUAGUCCAUUCAAAACAAAUUCAUUUUCUUUUUUAUAAAUAUAUUUAUAUAACAAUGAAAGAAGAAAAUGCAUUGAUUAAAAUAUUAUUGAUGUGUUUGAAUGAAGAAAGUUAGGGCAGAGAUGACCAAUAUAAAGACCGUGUGGGCCAAUAAAAUGAAUACAAAAAACAAUAUCAAUGGCUUGCAAAAAAAAAAAGUUUUAUGUUAAAUUUAUCUAUAUGUUAAAUUACUUGAUUAACUAAACUUAAUCCUGUAAUAUUAAAUUAUUUGAUGAAAAUAUUAUCUAAAACAUGUUUAAUUGACAUAUUUAAAGUCAAAUAAAAAACAAACCAUGUUUACUGUUAAUAUUAAAAAUUAUUUUUCAACAUAAACUCUUUAACAUAAAAAUUUAAUACAAUUAAAAUAAAUUAUGAUUAUUGUUUGAGCAAUUGAUUUGAUCUUGGACCCUACAAUUAUUUUCGUUAGUCUGUUAAUGUUUUUCUUUAAGCUUGUGGAAUGGGGUGUUCUUCUAAUUUAUUGUGUAAGCUAUUUUGCUUUUUUUUUUUUCAUAGACUUGGGAAGUCAUUUGUUUAAGCAUUUGAUUCUCUGGCAAGUCUUUAAACGCAUUCAUAUUUGUAUUUGGUUAUAUAUUGAAAAAUAUAUAAAUUGUAGGCCCUAUUGUUUAUAUAAGGUAGUACUCGAUUAUGAAAAAGCAAUUAUUUUAUUGCUUUUUUGCAAGUUUAAUCAUUGGUUGAAUUUUUUUAUAUGGCCGGCAUAGUGAAUUCUUAAAAAAAAAAAAAAACAUGUUUAUUAAUUGGGAAUGGAAAUUAUUUUUUCAAUUAUUAAAUUUUUAAAAAAAAUUCAAGAGCACUAAAAUAGUUUUUUUUAAGAAACUUGUUUUUCUUCUUCCACUAGCACUUGUUUUUUUUUUCGUAGACCUGUGAAGUCAAAAUUCCCAAUUAUCCACUACAUUAAUCUCUAUCCCAUCAAAAUGAAUUUGGUCCAAGAAAAAAAAUAUCUAUAUAUGUGAUUUAGUCCUGGUUUUAUAAAUUAAUUAGAAAGUGUAAAUUAUCUGUAUCAUUGAAUAUAUACAAUUUUGUCCUCUUCAUGCAUUUGAUCGGACAGUGACAAUUAUCUGUAUCAUUGAAUUUGCUAUGUUGAAUUAAUUAUCCAAGGGAGACUUGGGCUGCAUUGAAUGGGAGAGUCUUCACGGACAGUGCUAACCAGGGGCCCGCACCACGGCACAGAUCGCUCGGUUUGUGGUGUUGGAUUAAAGGAUAUUAAUUCCAACUUCUUGUUUACUGCUUUGCUUUUCUUCAUAGACUUGGGAAGUCAGGUGCUGUUUAUGAACAAUUGAUUUGAUCUUAUGAAAUACAUGGCAGAAGAGAUUAGAAAAUGAUUAAUAUUAUCAAUAAUUUCUUCUUACUGCACCUACUGAUUUUUAUUUCUUGUGAAAUAUUUAGAAUAUCUCUUUUGAAAUAUCAAUAUCGCCUACCCCCACUUCCUUCAUUUUUGUUAACGGAGUGAAAUGAUUUCCGACGCAGCUACUAAUUUCAUCAGCCACUUUCACUUGUUUUUAUUCAUAGACUUGGGAAGUCAAGAUUCCCAUAAUCAAAAUGAAUUUGAUCGAAGAAAGGAAAAAAUGAAAAAAAAAAAAAAACAUUACCAGUGGCUUACAAAAAAUAAAUAAAUAAAACCAUCAAUUACGAGCUUCAUAAGAGAAUUUUAGCUAUUUUGUCUUAAACUCAACAGAAUAUUCUUUAGGAAGCGUUGGGAACGGUGCAAACCGCGUUCCCACCAAAUUUUAAAUUUUUUUUUGUUAAAAUUUAAUAUAGUUUGUAUUUUUUGGAUUGUUUUGAUGUGCUGAUAUUAAAAAUAAUUUUUAAAAAAUAAAAAAAUAUCAUUAACAUAUAUUUUAGUACAAAAAAUUAUUUUAAAAAUAACUAUUAACAUACUUACAAACAGGACAGUUAAUCUUCAACUAAUCAACCGAUGAUCAUAAAUGAUGCCAAAAUUGUAGUCAAAGAGACUUGGAACUCCCUGCUGAUGGGCUGUUUAUUCUGCUAAAAUUGCAUGGGCUGUUUUACAGCCUUCGUAAUGGGCUUGGCUACUUUGGGUGAUUAAAGAAACCUAAAUCGAUAAUGUUUUCUUUUCCUUUGGUAUCCGUUUAAUCAAUCUUCUGGUUUGAUCCUUGAAAGUGCUGUGUAUUGAUGCUUGUCGAUUAGCCACAUAAUGUUAAAUUUACAAGGACAGAUCCAAGAAAAGCAAUGAAGGCCUGUAUUGGUCUCUGAGAGUUCAAAAUAAGACCCCCUGAUAAAGGCUGCAAUCAUUGCUUGAACCCCUGUAAAGGGGCCUUGACACAUGCGGUCCACUGAAGAAGUACAGCACCGUUCUUUAUUUAAUUCUUAUGGUUUAAAUCUACUAAUGACUUAGUCAUUUUGCAUGCUAUUUUUCCACUUGUUUUCUAAAAUAGAGAAAAGAACUGUUAAGCAUGCUGGAUAUUUCGCAUAAUAAGCUCUCCGGUCCUUUAUCCGGAGAGCUUAAUUUAACUUUCAUGGCAAACGAUGCAAAAUGCUAUGUAUCUUUUACUUGGCCUAGUAUUCAAUAUUUUGAUCAGUCAAAUCUUGUACUCAUGGGUUUGCCUCAAGUAGGCGAUUCUUAUCGUGAAACUAAGUACACAAACAACAUUGCACAUUAAUCUGUCGAGUUCUCAACAAAAAGACAGUCUUACUCCUAUCGAGAUGAUCUUAUUACUUUCAUGUCUGGUAUUGAUUUUUCUUGCAACGGAUUCACUGGCAAAAUCCCACCAAAUUUAGAGAUUGUAAGUGAGCUACGAGCGGUAAAUCUAUCACACAUCAAUCUCAUUGGAUCCAUCCCCGCAACUCUUUAGAACCUGAAGCAGAUUGAGAGUUUGGAUCUUUCUCACAGCAAAUUGACCGGUAUCAUCCCUUCGCAGCUUAUUGAGGUGAGCACAUUGGAGGUUUUCAGUGUUGCAUACAAUAACUUGUCCGGUAAAACUCCAGAGAGGAAAGCUCAGUUCGGCACCUUUGAUGAAAGUAGUUAUUAAGGAAAUCCUCUUCUUUGUGGACCUCCAUUGUGAAUUUGCAGUGAAACAAACUCGUAAUUGCAGCCUGUACCUAAUAAUGAACAAGAAGAUAAUAAUGGUUUCAUAGACAUGGAUGCUUUCAUUGUGAGCUUUGAGGCAUGUUACAUAAUUGUCUCGUUGGCAAUUGCAGCAGCUCUUUACAUAAAUCCUUACUGGAGAAGAAGAUGGUUUUACUUCAUUGAAGAGUGCUUAAGCAAUCGCUACUGUUUUGUGUGCAGACGUAGGCACAUCUUCAGAUGGACAUAGGGGUUGAUGCUUGCCAUUUGUUCUCAGUUAUACUAAGAAAGAAUGAACCGCGACUCUGUCCACCAUUCUCUCCUGUGCAUGAACAAAUUAGUGAAGGAAUAUUUGCAGUGAUAUAUGUUAAUGGUUUCCUGACUUCAUUAGAAUAUUUUGCUCCCAUUUUCUUUGCUCCAUGAACUGAAUAUAUAUUGCAACAUAAUUGUGGUGUUGUCAAUCACAGCAAUUAUGCACAUAAAUCCUUACUGGCGCCGCAGGUGGUUUUACUUCAUUGAAGAAUCGCAACUAUUAUGCUGCUGUUUUCUAGUGGUUAGUUUCCGUAAGCUGUCCAACAUCAUGUCAUCGAACCUCUGUAUAAUCAUUCAAUUAGAUGACACAUUUAAAAAUUUUAAAAACUAAUAAUACUAUAACUAUGAAGAACACCUAAAAUAUUUAAUUUUAUUCUUCCAAGUCUCUGCUAAACUAAUGAUACACAAUUGUGGUACUAGCAAUUGCGGCAGUUUUGUACAUAAACCCAUAUUGGCGACAUAGGUGGUUUUACUUCAUUGAAGAGUGCAUGGAGACUUGCUACUACUUUGAAUUGCAUACAUUUCAUAAGCUAUCCUCCUUCACAAGGCCAUAGGGAUCUGACGCGUGCCUUUUGUUUUUUCAUAUUUUUUAGUUUGAACUAAUAAAACCUUUACUUUUUUUCAAGCUUCAGUUCAUUUUAUUGCAGUUUCUCAAAUGAAUUCUACAAAUUCAAGAUAUAUAUCCAUCCUUAAUGCCAUAUUAAAGAGAAUAUAUAGAGAGAAAAAGAGGAGCUUUACGUGAUAUGGAUAGCGUGAUGCUCCUAAGCCUAGAACCAGCUAAAACUUAAUAUUAUGAUGAAUAAUUCAGCAAAACUUAAUUCAAUUUCAACUUCCAAUCUCAUCAUUAGUACAAAAUGCACAGUCAGAUUGAAAGGAAAUUGAUUGGAACUUGAAAUUCGGGUAACAAUACUUCUAGCAGAGCUUCCUCCUUACCCUCUCCCUAUUGUAUCUUCUUCGAGUGGAACUCUAGCUUUUUGCCCUCCAAGAUAUAUGUUCUCAUCUUUCUCCAGUACUCUCUUUUCCAUCCAGCAUAAGCAAUCACAACUUACCUCAACGGAAAACUUUAUAGCCAACUUCAACCAAUAUUUAAAAGGAAUUUUGUCCUUUGUUUAAUAAGCAAAAUCAACAGAACCUGUCUUUGACUUUCUAGCUCAUAUAUAGCAGUAGCCAUUUUAAGGAGCAGAAACAAACACUGUAGAGAUUUAUCAUCACGAAAAUCUGGUUGAUUUAUUAUCACGAAAAUCGAAAAUCUAGUUGAUUUAUCAUUACGAAAAUCUAGUUAAAACAAAUUAAUAUGAAAUCAAAUCGAGGAUGAAAGGUUGAUUUUGAGAUCAAGAAUAGCAUAUAUUAAAAAGAUAAUAAAUAAAAUUAGAGUAAUAACAUUGAUACAACUUAUCAUUAAAUUUCAUUUGCAAUUUCCUCUCGAUUUUCUGUAGUUCUGUAGAGACAAAGAUUAGUUGGUCCUUACGGGAAUUUUUCUUCCUUAAUUUCACUCCCAUUUCCCAAACGAUGGAAUUCAUACAACCUUUCGAUUUUAUUUCCACGUAAAAUCCAUUCUUCUCUAUCAAACAGAACAUAAUAAUGGGCCAUAUUUUAAUUUAAAUAUCUUUUUCCUAAUAUUUAAAGCUUUUUUGCUGGGAAAAUAUCAUGGGGAUUUGAGAGAAAAGACAAUAGAUAAGAAAGCACAUGAAAAAAAGUGAGAGAAAAUGAUGGUGGGUCUUCAUUAUUCAAGGACCGUAUUGGAACUCUUUGGAGGCAUGCGUGAGAGGUGAAAUGGAAACGUAUAGGGACCAAAUUGUUAUUUCAAUGAAUAUAUAGGGCUUAAAAUGCAAUUUACCCUUAAUUUUUUCAUGGAUGACGCAGUCACAAGGAGAGGAUAUAUAUAUGUCAUUUCUGAAAUGAGAAGACAGGCAGUGGCAAUAAGUAAAAUUUCAUAAAUCAUCAUCAAUCAAAAAUCAUGACGUGGGGACAGAUUAGACGGUUGAUUGUGACUUUUUUUACCCUCUCUUUCUCCCGGUGGGGGGUUUUAGGACAGUAUCGCGCGAGAUGCGCGGGCGCUGUGCUCUUACAUUUCCAAGGUGUAUAGUGGGAUCCAUGUCUUUAUUAAACCAAUUAAACCCACUGGGAUUCUAGUUUUUUUUUUUAAAAAAAAAACAUUUCAUAAAAGUCCUCAAACUUCGAGUCUCAUCUCUAUCAUAGCAAUAUUAUAAUUUUUAUUCAUUUUUAGUUAACAAAAAGUUUAUGUAAUCAAUUGAAGUUUAUAUGGUUUUUUUUUAUAUAUAAAAAACCAAUGAAUUCUUUAAAAAUCUCAUUUUAAAUCGCUUGAAACUAAUUUCAUAAAGAAACACAAAGAUUUUACAUUUAUAUAAUUUGUUUAAUUACAUAAACAAAUUAUAUGAUAAGAUGAAGAGAUAUCACAUAAUUGUUUGAUUUUAUAACCCUUUAAAACAAACUCAUCAAAAUAUUUAAUCCAAAUUCUGAAUAAGUAACCAUAUCUAAUGUAGAUAGUUUUGAAUAAUUUGAUAAUUUUUAAUAGUCAAAUGUAGAUUUAUCACAAUUUAGAUCAUAAAUAUAUAACCCAAUAAACUCAUAAUAUGAACAAAUAUAACUGGGCUAACUUAAGAAAAAAAACAAAUUGGUGCAAAAUGACUAAUCUAACUAUAAAAGUUUAAAUUUUAAUUUGACCUCAUGGAAAUCAUUCUCAAAUUUAAUUAGGAGAUUUUAUGGUUUUAAUCUAAAAAAUUUUGCAUUUUAUAUUGUAAAAACCUAUAUCAUAUCAAGAUUAAACUUCAGUAAAAAAAAAUAUUAGAAGGAGAGUUUUUUUAUAUAUAGAAUUACGUUAUAAAAAAAAUAUUAGUCUAACUUAAGUUUGGAAUGAAAACUUAAGUGAAAUUUAACAGUCUGCAACAACAAUCCUUUACCAUCCACCAUUAAAUGAUCAACAGAUUUUUUUAAGGACAAUAUAAAUUCUGAAAGAGCGUAGACAUGAAUGACAGCCAAGAACCACCCAACAGCCAUGCAGGGUCUAGUCUGCAUGGCAAUGGUCCACUCAAUCGCUGAAUCCACAUGAACAGUCUAAUGAACUGCUCAACAUGCAUUUGGUUCUGGUAAUUCAAUUAUGCGAAGGGUGUAGGUCCGAAUUCUUCAACUUAAACAAACAUGUUUGCGUAAUUAAGUGUUCAAUCACGUACUUAAUUUGCUAUUGAAAACAUUUAGAAUUUAUCAACAAUUUAAUUAAGCAGGUGUAUACAACCUUCCAACAUUAUGGAAUAAAAAUAUGACAUUUGGCGUUCUCAUCACAUAUUAUGAACUGUUAGGAUGUUGCAUGAAGUAUUAUCUGAAUAUAUAUGUUAUGAACUGUUUGCAUGAAACAUGUUAGGAACUGUUAGGAUGUUGUCGCAUAACUAUUAUCAUGCUACAUAACACUAUUUCAGUUGUGCUUGCAGGUAUACAUUAAUGAAGCAUUUGUUCAUGAUUGAACUAUCUGAACUACUUACAUGCCAAUUCAUUCUCAUGAUGUUUUGUCAUAAAUCAACUAAAGAGGGAGAUUGUAAAUGUCAAAAUGUUUGGUUUUGAUUAGUGAAAGAUUAUUUGCGUUGUUGAAGAUUAUUUUGUUUAGGUUUCUACUUUAUUCAAAUUAGAUAAUGAAUUAGUCAAAUUUAUCUCAUAGGAUAUAGCAUGAUUAUUUAUGUAAUUAUCUAUGGAUAAAUUAUAUAGGAAAUUCAGAUAAGUUUUAUAAAAAAAAAGAUAAAUACAAGUUAUCGGAAGAUAACAAUUAGAGAAGUGUUUUUGUGAAACAUGUUAGCAGUUUUUUAAGAAUGUAACAAACUAGGAAACUUAAAGAUAAUGUUUAUUAAAUGUUCUUAUCCUUUUCACAUGGAUGUGUAUAUAAAGAAGGACAAUCAGAAGCAUUUGAGAGUUGCAUUGGAAGCAGAGAAAGAGUGCUCAACCAGCUAAAGAGUUACACAAAGUUUCACAGCAUGUACUCUUGGCACACAAGUAGAGUGUGAAGAAAAUUCUCAAGGAGAAUUGUUUUAAGAAGAGUUGGAGAGCCUGCAUACUUUCAGGGGGAGUUCCUAUGUUAACUAUUGGCAACUAGAUGUUUCAGUUAGGAUGAGAAUAAUUUGAAGAUUGUUAGUUGUUCUGGCAAGUUAUUGCAAUAGAAGACAAAAUAGAGUGUUUGUCUUGACAAGUAAGGUAGUAUAGAUGCAAAGGAUUGGUAGUGAAAAAUACUCCUCUUGUAAUCUUCUAUACUAGAUAAAAUUUGUAUAUCUUGAAUUUGGCUGCCUCAUAUGGUUUUUUUUUUAAUCUUUUAAAAGUUCUUCAGAAUAUUUUCUCUUCAUAACCAAAUAAUUUGUUUAUUUAAGUUUUCUUGUUAAUAUACAUGGAACAGAAACAAGACUAUUAGUUAUUAAAAAUGAUAAAUAUUUUAGAAUCUUGUAUUUUCACAUUUUCCAUAUUAUAUAAUAUACAGUGUCCAAAGUUUGCAAGCAGGUCAUCAAUGUUGAAUUAUGAUUAAAUUAAUAGCAUGUAUUAUUAAUAUUAAUAUCCGCGUUUAUCAUAUGGAUACCUUUAUUAAUUGAUUUGUUGUUCCCUUUUCCCUUGUGUAGCUAUUUGGUUUGGAAUGUGCAUCCGCGCCAAUACUAUUUAAUUGCAAUUCUCUUCAUCAUGUGAUAUAAUUAAAUGAUUAAAGUCAAGCCCAUACGUCCGCAACAGUACUCACCAUAUAUAUAUAUAUGAAAAUAAACUUACUAUUUAUUUAGUAAAAUAAAAAUUAGUUGAAAAGUCUUUAUUCAUUUUCACAAUAAACAACGAUAAAUAUCCACACAUAAAGUUUCAACACCAAGAACCAUUACAAAAACUUGGUACGAACCAUGCAUCCACACAUGGUAUGGACCAAACACCUUAACUAUUCAUAAAAACUUUAACUAUUUAAGUUAAUAAAAGCAUAGAGAAAAAUAUAAACAGGCAAAAAAGAUGAAAAUUGCAUAAUAUAUUUUUGAGUUGUGAAUAUGUUUUUGUAAAAAUAUCACUAGGGUGAUAUUUAGAGCGAAGACAAGAGUAUUCUCCCCGGCCCCUCCUUAAAUUUCCCCGUCCUUUAAAAUGCCCCCAUCACUAUCAAAUAAUUCCCUGCACACAGCCCUGUGUGAGGGGUAAAGUCACGGGAUUAUUAGUGGAGCAAUUUGCUCCACUAACCAAAUAAACUAAGUACUCCUGUCAAGUGGAGCUCUAAAGACAUAUCUUAUAAUAAUAAUAAUAAUAAUAAUAAUAAUAAUAAUAAUAAUGGUGCACACGCUUCAUCAUGCCACUUUUUUGGAAUAAUCCUUGUAUUAUAUCAUUGCUCACAAACAGGAUACUUAUAAAAAAAUAAAAAAACAGAAAAUACAAUGGGACGUGAUAAACAGGAUAGCUCACGGAAUUUCAGAUCUAAAUCAUGGAAUAAAAUCAUCUCUGUCUUGCGUGAUCGAUCGUGUAAUCUUUGUUCUUUUUUAAAAAAGUCGCAACCGCACACUUAAAAAACUGCAAAAUCACAUCUUUCUUUCUAUCUUCCGUUGCCAAGCAUUAUUUUCAAACUCCUUACGAAGAUUUUUUGUUUGUAGAUCAAGUGGUCAAGUAAACAUCGGUUCUAUUUGGGAAUGUAUUUGUACUGAAGUUAAUUUAUUAUUAUUAUUUUAAAUUAAAUUGUUUUGUUUUCAAAUUAUUUUAAUAUGUUGAUAUUAAAAAAUUUGACUUGACCCACUUUCUUCAGCAUCUAGUGUAAUAACUAAAAUCAAACGGCAUUGCAUUUGGUGUAUAAACUAUAAAGGUGUCAGAAGUGUGAUAUCCCACUUUCUUCAUUAUUAGUCUGUAACAACCUUCUCGUUUCCUUAUAUCACUACUGGCCAAAUUGAAGUUUCUCAAAUUCUAAAGUUACAGUUUUAAAAUUAUAUAGGAAUUGAGAGAAAAUUCUGAUAUUUUUAUUGAAAAGUUAGUAAUUCAAUAAUCUAAUCUUAAAACAAUACUCCCUUUGUUGAUAUACAAGUUUAAAACCGACCUAAUCAAAAGAAUUAAAAACUAAGUGAGAAAAAUAAUUAAAAUUCAAAAUUAAUUAAAAAAAUAAUUAAAACUACACAAAUGGAAUCUUCUAUGCCUAAUUUAAAAAGAUUUAUGUCGUGGAUAUAGAAUCAUCUAGAGUACAAUUCAAUAGUUGAAUAUAAAAUUAUGAUUGUUUUAGAUCCGUUUCAUCUUAUAUUAAUGCUUUGAAUUAUAAUAAAAAUAUUAAUAUUUAUAACACAAAUAAUAAUAUUUUCAAUAUUUAUACAUUCAAUUAUAAUAAAAAUAAUAAUAUUUAUGGCACAAAUAAUAAUAAUAAUAAUAAUUUUUAAUUUUAUCCUUCAAAACAACUAUAUGAUUUUUCUUUAAAGGUUAUUAUUAUUAUAUUAUAUACAUAAAGCUAAAUCAUAUGGGAAAAGUCAUGUUCAUCAAGACCCAUAGCACUACGGAUUGCACAUUUGAUGGGGCAUGGUGUGCUGCAGCCCCACACACUGACACCUGGUGCAAGGGCAUUCAUGCCUAGCCACAAAGAGUUCCAAGGCUGCAUGGGGGAGAGGUUAAGCCCCAGGUUUCGAACACCUGGUGUUGGGUCCGCUGACCUGCAUGCUAGGUCCGAACAUGGACCCCCUUCUAUUGGGUCAGGCGUCCUCACCCAAAUCACUUGGGUCUAGACAAGGGUCGAGCCCUUAACCCCCUUGGUUCUGUCCACGGUCCAAUCCCAUACCCCUUAGGGUUCAGACAUGGCCUCAUCCCCAACGCCCUUGGGUCUAACCACGGACGCAAACCCCAACCUGAUUGGGUCCGGACACGGAACCAACCCCCUUGGGUCAAGACAUGAACCCAUCAGGUUUGGUCCUGACGCGAACCCAACACACCAUGUGUCCGUACUCCGAAGGACCCAAACACCAACCCCCUUGGGUCCAGACAAGGACCCAACCCCCCUUAGUCUGGACACGGACGAACACAACCCCUUUAGGUCCGGAUGCGAAAGGACCCAAACUCCUUAGGUCCGGACACGAAAGGACUCAAACCCCAACCAAUUUGGGUCUAGAUACUGACCCAACCCCCUUGGGUCCAGAAAUGGACCCAUCCCCCUUGGGUCCAGACACGCCCCAAUCCCCAACCCCCUUGGGUCCAGACACGUCCCAGUUGGGCCUUGGGUCCAGCCAUGACCCAAAUCAAAAUUAGAAUGUUAAUGAACUCACCAUUGCCAUUAAGCUCCAUUGAGUGUAAACAAUGAAUUUAUAAAAUAGUCAAAAGUGGGAUGUCGUGAUUUCAACAAUGCCGUUUCAGAAAAUUGAUAGUCAUGAUGAAAAUAAGAAUACAGAAUUGUUGAGUUGAAACGUGUACGCCUGAAAUGUAUAGUGAUGAUGGUGGAACUGAUGCGGUUGUAUAGCAGCACCAAAAAGUACUUUCCUAAUGAUUUCCUUGCGGAAGAAAUUAUGGCAUGUUGGAAAACGAUGCCACCCUAACAAUCCAAGAGUUCAAAUUCAACUUGAAUAAAAGCAUGCUAAUUUAGAGGAGAAAGGAUCCAAGAACAUCAUGAAACAGGGGAUUGUUCUAUUUUGUUAUGUAACAAUCUCAACAGCUAAUUAAGAGGUUAGAUUGUAGGGUCUAAUUUCAAAUGCAAGACUCUAUUGAUUCUCAUCAUUAUAGUAAUAAAACCAUGUACAUUUUUAUUAAAUUAAGAGGAAACACAAAAUUAAACAAGAAAAUCUUAAGAUUUCAGAAAUAAAUCUAACAUUGUCGAACGGAUUGUGACCAAACCCAGAUUUGGUGGAAGAUAGAAAUAUGAAAAGAGAGCAGAAAUUGAUGGUCUCUUCUGCUUUUCCUGGCCUCCUUGUUUUGCAUAUAAGGUUCGGCCAUCUAAGCCUUUCAUGGGGUUUGAAUUUCCUGGCCUCCUGAGUUAAUUUCAUCUAACCCAUAUAAGGCUAGACUUGAAUAUUUCUAUAUAUACACUUAAGGCUGGAUGAGCUUGUCUCCUUAGCAGGCCUUCUUAGGCUUUUGUGCUGCCAAACUAUGUCAGCUCUAAGCUCAUUAUUAUCUGAAUGAAAUCAUUGCAUACUUGCUAUCAAGAAGAUUUUUUUCCUGAUGGAUUUCUCUCACAUUGCAACAGCAGUAAUCAAUCAUGGCACCCAACUCAGUUGAAACGGUGAUCGGUACAAUGACUUCAAGUCACGGUUACCUCUUCUUUUCUUUUUCUUUCUUUUUUUUUGUUACGAAAAAACAAGUAAAGUGUAUAUCUAUGAAAUUAAGUUACAGAAAAUGUAAAAUACACUUGUCAUGGCUGAUUGAAAUCGUGGAAGAAAAAACUAGAGGAAAGAUAAUCGAUUGACCCCCAACGAAGACCAAUGCAGAGGAAUUUCAAAGGGGAAAAACGGUGGCGGCUUUAUGAUGCAGUUCAUCUAAAGAUAAACCUAACCUGAAUUAAUUGUUCGGUCUCCUUCAAAGCGAAAUAACUUUGCCAGGUUUCCUCUCAGUGACAUUACAUUUUUAAAGUUAAAAGUGCUGAAGCACAAUUCAAAGAAUAAGUAGUAUUAAACUUAACAAGCUAGUUCAAUGGAGGAGAAUGGUGUGCUGAAACACUAAGAUUUUCAAAAAAAUUGAAGCAUAUCAGAUCCAUGCUGCUGCAUUCGCAAGAAACUAGCACCCAUCAACAAUGUGCUAAAUGUCAAUGCAGAGCUUUAAAUCAUCUACAGAGGCUCAUGAAGAAUAUAGGCAUAAAUGAUAACAGAUAACACACCAGAGCACUCUACGUAAACUGAUAUCUUUAGAAAAUUCAAAGGCAUGAAUGAAAAAGAAAAGCUAGAAAUAUCUAAGUCAGCUCUUAAUUUGUAACAGUCCACAACUUCAUGUUUGGUGUGUACUGUAAACUAUGCUUUCCACAUAAUCAUGAGCUUCAUCUGCAAAAAACCAUUUUCACUUCUUGGGACAAGGGAUCAAAAAAAUACAAACCUGUUGUUGGAUUACAUUCAUAAUUUAUAUCAAGCCCUAGCUGCUGCUCGAAGGAAGUCUUUCAAGGAAAAAAAUCAGGAACAAAAAAUGCUGAGAGGUCCAUCUUGGAGGUCAGAAAGCUGGAGUUCUACCUAGAAGAAGAUACCUCUGGAGAGAGUAAUAAAGGAAGCCUGAACUGCUUAGAGUUCUCUUACCGAAGCUUCAAGUUAAGAUCAUUUUCAUUUCAAUUUGGAUGUAGAAAUAAUGAUGGGAUAUGAAAAUUAGGUUAGUUAUAUUUUGAAAAAGGGUAUAUAUGAAAGUUAAAUCCUCUGUUCAAAUGAACAAAGGGCUCAACUUGAGCAAGAGUUAACAAGCUAUCCAUCGAGGUCAAUGGAACAUACCACUGAUAUUAAUCUUUUACUAUUUAGGGGAAUUCAUAAAUCCCGUAUUACAAGAAGCCAAGAAUUGGUUGGUUGCUCAGCACAACAUAACUGAUACAAACAAUUACUGAUACAAGCACAAGGACAAACACAAGUCACAUCAAAACAGAAAGGCUAAGCAACAAGAACACUUCCACAGAGCACUUCUCACAGGCAAAUUGCUAAACAUGCAGUGAGCAACCAUUGAUUUGGAAUGCGACUGCUUCUCCACAGAGGAUUACAACAAAUUCAGAAAGCAGCCCACACGCUCCUGAUAAGAUCCAAUCACGUUCUGAAUCUGGACAACUUGCAAAAGUUUAUAGCCAAAAAGCUGUAGCAAGUGUCAAUGCAUUCUUCAAUGAAGUAAAACCACCUACGUCGCCAAUGCGGAUUUAUGCACAAUACUGCUGCAAUUGUCAACACCAUAGUUAUGUAAAACACACCAAAGCUGGCAUAGAAACUGUCCAUGUCUAUGAAGCCACCAUCUCCAUUGAAAUCGUUAGGCACUCUUGCGGAUGGUGAUUCUGUUUUGUCGCAACUGUUUUGCAAUGGAGGUCCACAAAGAAGAGGAUUCCCUUUAUAACUGCUCUCAUCAAAGGUACCAAAUUGAUUUUUCAUCUCCAGUGUUCUUCCUGACAAAUUAUUGUACGACACGUUGAAAACUUCUAGAAAGGUCAGUUCAACGAGUUGUUCUGGAAUUCUCCCAUUCAAGGUGUUGUGAGAAAGAUCCAAGCUCUCUAUCUGCUUCAGAUUGGAGAAAGAUGGAGGGAUCAAUCCAGUGAGAUUAUUUCGCGACAGAUUUAGAGAGUAUAUCCCACUUAAGUUUCCCCAUUCUGUCGGGAUUUCUCCAGUGAAUCUGUUACAAGAAAGGUCCAUAACAGACAUGUAACGAAGGAUAUCGCCUUCGUAAGAGUAGAAAUUUUUCUUUGUUGUAAGCUCUACAGAUAUUUUUACACUGAUCUCUGGCCACAAAAUUUUGCCAUAAAGAUAAAAACCUUCGUGCUCCAAUUCUCUUUCCCCCAUGGAUGCAAAUAUUUCUUUCCGGCUUCCAUCAUCUUGUGAGUACGUACUAGUGACAACCCAAGUUUUUUCAUAUGAUGCCGUAAAAUCUAAAUUGCUCAAACAUGAGGGUAACAGACUAGAAAAAUUAUUUUCUGAAAGAUCCAAUAUGCUUAAUUUCCUUAACAAGCAUAAUUGAACAGGAAGUUCCCCAUUGAAUUGAUUAGAUUUCAAAAGAAGAAAACUCAAUUCCGAAAGUCUAUCAAUCCAAUUUGGAAUUGGCCCAGUUAAGUUGUUAUAGCCGAGAUCUAAUGUCACCAAAGAAGAGAUGUUAUAAAAAGCAUUUGGCAGUGGACCGGUCAAUCGAUUUCCGUAUAGGUGGACAUAGCGUAAAUGCGGUGCAUAAAAGCCCAACGGCAAAGACCCAGACAAAUUGUUUUCAGAAAGAUCUAAAAAUUCAAGCCUAGAAGGAUUGAAAUAUUCUUUUGGAAUGGUACCUUCAAACUGAUUUCUGGACAAAUCAAUUGCCUGAAAGGGGUAUAUUGAAGAGUUCCCAAUUCCCCUUGGAAGCAUGCCUGACAAAAGAUUGUUACUUAUAUCAAACCACAAAAAUGAUGAUGCAAGAGAAAAGGUACCAGAUACUUGUCCUGCAAAUUUGUUUCCGUCGAGAAAGAGGUACUCUAGGUGAGUCAUGUUGAACAAAGAGAGUGGUAAUCGCCCUUUGAAAUUGUUAUUGGACAGCUUUAAGGACCACAACGAGGAGCCUACUGCUGGAAAAUUAUGCUUAAGCAGUUCACAAGACAUCUGAUUGUUGGAAAGAUCAAAGUAUUCGAGAGAGCUCAUAUUCCCAAAACAAGGAGGAAUACAACCUGUGAGGCUGUUGUUAGCCAUCAUGAAGUUUUUCAAACGUGGAAAAAUCGAACAUAUGUUGCUUGCAAUUUGACCAUGUAUGUUGUUGCCAGACAUAUCUACUGUCUGAAGGUUGGGUGUUGGAUGUUGUGGCAGCUGCAAAAGACUUGUAAAUGAGGUGUCUCUCAAAUAUAGCCGAUUUAACUUUCUAUUAUUCUCAAACAGCCAAGAUGGGAAAGGUUCUCCAACGAAUUUGUUGUGGGAUAGAUCAAGAAACACCAAAUCAUGUUGGCUAUGCAGGAAGUUUGGAAAUCCAGCUCUGAGUGGUUUUGAAGUACAGUUUGAAGCACUGAAGUAACGAAGCUGGAACUUGGGAGCUGAAGGCUGAAAACUGGGUGCAGCUAUCAGCUCAUUGUUAUCGCAUGCAAUGAACUUGAGGUUGGAGAGGUUCAUAAAUGAACCAAAUGUUAUUGGAACUUGAAAGUAGUUACUUGAAACUGAGAGGUAUUCAAGCUGCGUAAGAUGGGAAAGGUGACUAGAGGCAAUAUUUCCCUCCAAUUGGUUGUCAGAUACAUCCAAGAUUUGUAGAGAUGAUAGAUUUCCAAAACAAGGAGGGAGUACGCCCUUUAGAUAGUUUCUUGAGAGAUAUAGCUUUUCAAGAUUCUUCGGUUCACACCAGCCUGCAGAAUAUAUCAAUAUGUUCAUAUAUCAAUUAUGUAAUUGCUUGGUGAGGUUUUAAAGUUUUAGUUGAUUCUUGUUUCAUUACCUAGGUCGGUUUUAGAUUAUAUUUAAACAACUUUGUUUGUUAGUUUUUUAAAAGAUUAAUUAUCUAUAUUAUUGAUAUUCAUAAUUUUUUUAAUUCAAAGUUUUUUCUAUAAUUUAAGACAGAGAAAUUUUAGAGAUUCAGAAACUCUAGAUUUUAUCCUUUUCUAUACAUAACAUUAUGAGUAAAUUUCUAGUUUAAUAAAAC